rnacentral:lncRNA from 1 species
UGUUGGACAGUUCGAAAUUUAUCGGAUCAAAUUUUGAUAAUUGAUAUCGAAAGUUAAAGAUUGUCCUGGAGCACAAGUAGAUCCUUUAUGUGAUAAUGGAUCCGGCACCUGAGGAAUCUGCUCCUAACGCCCGAAGAGUGGUUUGAGACACUUAUUUGAAGUAGCUCAAUGACUGCACCACAGUUCGUUGCAUCAUGCGGGCCUCCA